CGUGCAGGUGGAUGAGUAAGUUACUCAUGAAAGCUCCCGGCUAAACUGGGAGAGGUUGAGUGAUACUGCUCGUCUAGAGUGGAUGAGAGGUAAGUAGAAUUCCUUGUGUAGUGGUGAAAUGCGUAGAUAUAAGGAAGAAUACCAGUGGCGAAGGCGACUUACUGGCAUCCAACUGACACUCAGACGCGAAAGCAUGGGUAGCGAACG
rnacentral:rRNA from 1 species